rnacentral:rRNA from 1 species
GACGAACGCUGGCGGCGUGCCUAAUACAUGCAAGUCGAACGAACCGCGACUAGGUGCUUGCACUUGGUCAAGGUGAGUGGCGAACGGGUGAGUAACACGUGGGUAACCUACCCCAUAGUGGGGGAUAACAGUCGGAAACGACUGCUAAUACCGCAUAGGACAUAGGAUCACAUGAUUCUGUGAGGAAAGGUGGCGCAAGCUAUCGCUAAGAGAUGGACCCGCGGUGCAUUAGCUAGUUGGUAGGGUAAAGGCCUACCAAGGCGAUGAUGCAUAGCCGACCUGAGAGGGUGAUCGGCCACAUUGGGACUGAGACACGGCCCAAACUCCUACGGGAGGCAGCAGUAGGGAAUCUUCCGCAAUGGACGCAAGUCUGACGGAGCAACGCCGCGUGAGUGAAGAAGGUCUUCGGAUCGUAAAGCUCUGUUGUUAGAGAAGAACAGCGCAUAGAGUAACUGUUAUGCGUGUGACGGUAUCUAACCAGAAAGCCACGGCUAACUACGUG